rnacentral:rRNA from 69 species
CUAGCGCGGUGGUCCCACCUGACCCCAUGCCGAACUCAGAAGUGAAACGCCGUAGCGCCGAUGGUAGUGUGGGGUCUCCCCAUGCGAGAGUAGGGAACUGCCAGGC